GCUUCCGCUCGGUGGUUCCUUCCCGCACGCAGCUACGGGUUUCGGUGCUGCGCCGGUUAAGCCGGCACCAGAAACAACCUGCGACCCCACCUGGCGUGCGUCUUCCAGCACAGGGAAACGGGAUGGAAGUCAGAAGGGUCGACCACAAGGAGCUCUUACUGUGCAUCAGUUCAUCCUGCAAGUCCGCCACAUUUAGCUUCCUAUGUUACUGUCCUUUGGGGAUUCUCAAGGCUUUUCACAAAACUGGCUUCCACCUUCCUCACACACAUCCUCAUCUGGAAGAAAACUGACCUCUUCACAGAAACCCCUGACACCUUACUGACCCAGGAUCUUUGUUCAGGUGGCCAAAAGAAAAAGUUCUGCAGGCCAGGCGCGGUGGCUCACUCCUGUAAUCCCAGCACUUUGGGAGGCCGAGGCGGGCGGAUCACCUGAGGUCAGGAGUUCAAGACCAGCCUGCCCAACAUGGAGAAACCCUGUCUCUACUAAAAAUACAAAAAUCAGCCGGGUGUGCUGGUGGGCGCCUGUAAUUCCAGCUACUCCGGAGGCUGAGGCGCGAGAAUCACUUGAACCUGGGAGGGGGAGGUUGCAGUGAGCAGAGACUGAGCCACUGCACUCCAGCUUGGGUGAUAGAGUGAGACUCUGUCUCAAAAACAAAACAAAACAAAUCAAACACUGCUUUGGGCUCAAAUCCCUGAUUCUCAGUGUAUGAACUUUGCAACUUUACCUCUCUGUGCCUGCUUCCUCACUUACCAGGGAAAGUUUCAGAACUGUUGCUCCUGGCAGACACUUCGUGGACACGCAUACUCACCAUGCCUCCUUCCUGCUGACAACUGGGGACUUAAGUCACAACCUGCAGACUAGCACAGAGAAAUGUCUGACUCUUCAGUUGAGUUCAACAAAUGCUUAUUGAGCACCUCCUAAGUACCAGGCACUGUUGAUAC
rnacentral:lncRNA from 1 species